UCAGUCAUUUCCACUCUUCGAUGUAAUUGGUUUGAUCAGUAAACAAAGGAAUGUGGGUAUGCCCUUACAUUCGACACAGACUGUGGUUGGGUAUUGAAGGCUUUGGAUAGGACAUGGAAGCUCCUAUUGGGUCAAAUGAGGUGUCAAUCGAAAGGUCAGAGUGCGUGCUUCCAUUUUGAUACCGGAUAUAGGAAAUGUUUACAUCUGAACUUAAGUUAUUACCGAUAAUAUGUGAAAGAUUAGGCACAGCUGCCAGGUGCUUUGAAAUGAUGCAACAAGAGUCUGUGGAUAUUUAUUGAUGUAAUAAUGUGAUUUGGACUAAACAUUUUACUUGAUUUGAUCGUUUGGACAUUUGACAAUGAAACAACACUGUUUUUGUCGGGAAGUUAUGGCUCAGUGGACUACUAUGAGGCUUCAUAGCACAGUGGUGGAGAAUGCAGGCAAUUUAGCAAGCGGUGACGAUACAGUUAAGCACCAACAGUGACGUCACUCGUCCUCUUGUCUGCCGGAUAGAUGGAAAGCUUGGAGCAGGAAGGAGAAUCCUCUGGGACAGCCUCCAAACUGCCAAAAAGGGGCCUAGUUGAGGAAGUAGCAUUCUUGUGUGGGUGGCUAAAGACUGGACACCGCCCAUGUCCUGGUCCAUCCCUUGGGCACUCCCCAACCUACACAGCACCCCGUCUCACCGCGAGGAUGCCAGACUUCCCUUUUCAUUUGGACACUAACCCCCUUGGACACGCCUCUCCUAGGCCUGCCAUCACACCCACUGUGUCUGUUUGUCUUUUGGGGGUUUGAGGAAGAGACAAUGUAUUUCAUUAAUGUUAAUAUAAAUGAUACACAACAGCCCUCUUUUAAAUCACCUUCAUACACUCCUUAAAGAAAUAGUUCAGCAAUGAAAUAUUUGUAGUAUUUAAAUGUUCUGAAUUCAAUUGCCAUUGGCAUGGAUUUGACGUGGUGUGGUGUGGUGUGGUGUGGUGUGGUGUAGUGGGCUAAAGCACAUAACUGUUAAUCAGAAGGUUGCUGGUUCAAUCCCCACGGCCACCACCAUUGUGUCCUUGAGCAAGGCACUUAACUCCAGGUUGCUCCCUGUAAUAAGUGCACUGUAUGUCACUUUGAAUAAAAGCAUCUGCCAAAUGCAUAAAUGUAAAUGUGGUGUGGCAAAAAAAAAUAUUUUGUACUCUGUAUGUAUGAAGAUUACCAUGUAUCUCUAGAGCCCCAGUGUCCAAGUUAAUUACAUGUAGGGCCACACAGAUUUUCUUAUUUAAGCUGAUAAUGAGAAGGGAAAAUCAGUUUAAUUCAGCAGAAUUGACACGAUUAAACCAGUUAAACAGAUCCAACAGUACUACACUCUU